GAUGAACGCUGGCGGUAUGCUUAACACAUGCAAGUCGAACGGACUCUUCGGAGUUAGUGGCGGACGGGUGAGUAACGCGUGAGAAUCUGGCUUUGGGUUCGGGACAACCACUGGAAACGGUGGCUAAUACCGGAUGUGCCGAGAGGUAAAAGAGAAAUUGCCUGAAGAUGAGCUCGCGUCUGAUUAGCUGGUUGGUGAGGUAAAGGCUCACCAAGGCAGCGAUCAGUAGCUGGUCUGAGAGGAUGACCAGCCACACUGGGACUGAGACACGGCCCAGACUCCUACGGGAGGCAGCAGUGGGGAAUUUUCCGCAAUGGGCGAAAGCCUGACGGAGCAAUACCGCGUGAGGGAAGAAGGCUCUUGGGUUGUAAACCUCUUUUCUUAGGGAAGAACAAAAUGACGGUACCUAAGGAAUCAGCAUCGGCUAACUCCGUG
rnacentral:rRNA from 1 species